CCUACGGGAGGCAGCAGUGAGGAAUAUUGGUCAAUGGACGCAAGUCUGAACCAGCAAUGCCGCGUGCAGGAAGACGGCUCUAUGAGUUGUAAACUGCUUUUGUACGAGGGUAAACUCAGAUACGCGUAUCUGUCUGAAAGUAUCGUACGAAUAAGGAUCGGCUAACUCCGUGCCAGCAGCCGCGGUAAUACGGAGGAUUCAAGCGUUGUCCGGAUUUAUUGGGUUUAACGGGUGCGUAGGCGGUCGGAUAAGUUAGAGGUGAAAUCCCGAGGCUCAACUUCGGAAUUGCCUCUGAUACUGUUCGGCUAGAGAGUAGUUGAGGUAGGCGGAAUGUAUGGUGUAGCGGUGGAAUGCUUAGAGAUCAGACAGAACACCGAUUGCGAAGGCAGCUUACCAAGCUACGUCUGACGUUGAGGCACGAAAGCGUGGGGAGCAAACAGGAUUAGAUACCCCAGUAGUC
rnacentral:rRNA from 1 species